rnacentral:rRNA from 1 species
UACGAAGGGGGCUAGCGUUGUUCGGAAUUACUGGGCGUAAAGGGCUCGUAGGCGGCCAACUAAGUCAGACGUGAAAUCCCUCAGCUUAACUGGGGGAACUGCGUCUGAUACUGGAUGGCUUGGAUUCGGGAGAGGAAUGCGGAAUUCCAGGUGUAGCGGUGAAAUGCGUAGAUAUCAGGAGGAACACCGAUGGCGAAGGCAGCUCGCUGGGACGGUACUGACGCUGAGGCGCGAAAGCCAGGGGAGCAAACGGG